UAUCAUUAUUCUUACGUUUUUGAGUUAACGUUAAUUAGAUUAAGUUUAAUUUAAAGCAAUUUAUGUGUAGAAACAACAACACUUAAUUGAAUAUAUGCAGGUAACCUAAUAUAUUGGGUAGUGUAAGUGUAUGUUGCAACUCUAAUCCAUAAAAUAAGUGUGCUUCUUCUACUGACCUUGAUCAAGAUUGCAAGACUUGUGUAACAUUCGGAUAAAGCUUCAGACUCAGCUUCAUGCUAGUAAUCCAGAGAAGUCUGUGGAUGCCAGUUUUCAACAUUUCAUACUUUGGAGCCAAUUUAGGAUGCGUAAAUGUUGA